CGGCGGCAACGCGUCCGCUCCUAGGCUGCCACCCUGUCACUGGCGCGCCUGGGCCCUCCCUCCUCCCUCCUUCCCGAGCCCCCGCCCUCGCUCCCGCCUCCCGCUCCCCCCGCCGCCGGGCUCCGAGCUCCCCCGGAGGAGGAGCCGCAGGCGGCACCGCUGCCAGCCAGAGGGAAGCGCGGGCCGCGGUAUUUCCCCGUCACCCGCCCUUGGACGCCCCCCGUCAGCGCCUCAGUCCGGAGCCGGCCUUCUCUCCGGAAGGAAACGAUCGCUGUCGGGCCGCCUCCGGCUUGCAGCGCCGACGCCCCCUCUUCCCUCCGCCCCCAGCUCUUGCUCUUCGUCCCAUUUCCCGUCCCGUCCCGCCCCUCCGCUGGCCUCCUGACACUCGUGUCUGGGGGCUCUACUGGCCUCCUCCCGGCGCCUAGGCUCCGCUGACCUCAUCGGCGGAGCUCGGGUCCGCGAGCCCCCAGCAAGUUCGUUGUUGUCCCUCUGGGCUCUCCUCCCCCAGCCCACAGCCGGGUACGUCCUGGCGUGACCCUUACCACUCUGCCCCGCCCCAGGUCCACUCCUCGCGUUUUCCGUCCUUUCCACGUUGUUCUUACCGCUGCCACUCCGCGCCUUCUCUCUGUAGUCGGUCACUUGUCAGGAAACCAAAGGUCCCAUCCCAGCACCUCUCCUCCCAGCCUAACUUCCGUCCUACCUGCAUCCUCCACCAGCUCUCCUCAGUGCUUCACAGAAGCACCAUUGUCCCAUUGUCGUUUGGGGUCUCUCCUAAGAAAAUCUCUGAGGGAUUGGAAAUACUUAUCCUGAAAGGCUAAGGGAGAUGAAAUCAGCACGAGAAGAUGAACAAAAUUCAUAUAUUGAAAUAUGAAAAGCCUUUUUUGCAGAGCUGGAAGUAGAGCCCUCCUGAGGACAACAGCCAUUUCUAUCUAUUGAAAAAAGUAUUAGCUCAUGGCUGAAAGCAUUUUGGCUGUCCUAGCAGGCCAGAAAUUCUACUUCAAAAGGCAGCGGUUACAUUGUACCAAAUGGGUCUCUGUGAUAUCAUCCGAGUUGGGAAGAGCCGGGUGUGCAGAGCCUAGAUACUGACAAAUGAAGGCAAAGGGUAGGAGGAGGUAACAUUUCAGGAUAAACAAUAGAUUUCUCUGUUUUAUGUUUUAUUCAUGUCAAGAAUAUUUAUGAAACUUGCUGAAAAUGCAGAUUCUUGGACACUGUGCAUCUGAAUUAUUUAGAAAAAAGAGUAAGAAAUUAUAUUUACAUUAAAAAUGUUGAACUGAUAAGAAAAGAAACAUUUACGCUUUGGCCAGUACUUUUUUGCUGCUGACUUGUUCUGAAUGUAAAAUAAGAUUGUCCUCUCUUCACUUCAUCUCUGAACUCCUAUAAUACUUAGCACACUAUUAGAGUUACGAAUUGUUAGCUAUGGUGUGUGUGUGUGUGUGUGUGUCUGUGUGUGUGUGUGUGUGUGUUUUGCUUUUAUAUUUCAAUCCAGAUUAUAAUAUCUAAGAGAGCAGAGGCAAGUUGUUCUUUGCUUAGUGCUCAGGUGAGCCCAAAAUAGGGCUGGGUAUAUUGAGGCUAAUGAACACAGAAUAUAUCUUAUUCACUUAAAAGAAAAUCCUCUAACUGUCCACUUUGUCAUGUUCAUUCUAUAUUCUUAAAUUUGAAAAGUAGUACCUGACAUCAAAUUCCAUAUAAGGUAAAUUAUUAGUCAAUUAUAUGCAUUGCUAUGAUUGCAAACAAUGAGAGACUCAUUACUGCAAAUUGUUUUCAGUAGUAAGGUGACAAUGGCUGAAGUUGGAAGUAAUGUACAACUCAAGUAAAGAGAAAGAAUAGAGAUGGUGUCAGUGACACAGCAAAUCAGCACUAAAGACAUAAGAUAAAAUGCUCUUUGAUUUUUUUCAGCGUGGAAUUUCCUAUUGUGAGCAGUGCAUUGGUGACAGACAUUUUAGGUAAACUGACAUAUUAAAUGUAUGCUUCAUCCACCUGACUUUGCAUGAAGAAUAUGCAGUCUUUCAAAAUAGGCUAAAAUACUACAUUUUCAACUUAGUCAAUUUUGCCACCUAAAUAAUGUUCCUUUUUUUAUUUCCAACAGUAUUUUCUUAUCUUCCCAAUAGAUGACUGGCCCUGUAACCUAGAAAUAAAAAUGGUCAAUUCCUCUAUCUCAAAGAGCUUAUAACAAAACAAUGUUAACUUUCCAUGUCUAGAGACUGUGUUCAUGAGUAGGUUUCUGACACCACAUUGAAAGAAUACAGAGCUCAACAUUAAAUAAUUAUUAACAUGUUCAUUGUGAAACUGCCUUUUCCAAAAUUAUGACAGUCAGAGAAAUCUAACACAGCUGGUUCCAUCUUGCUACUAACCUCACAGGCUAACUGUUCUUGCUCAUUCCUGGGUAUAAGCUAAGACAACUAUGGGAGGAAUUGGUUUACAGUUUAACUUUGAAACAAGAUGAUAAGAGUCCCUUCCUGAAACUAACCCCUCCUUGCUCAGGGACCAAAACUGCCUUUGUAAACCUAAUAAAUUGCCCACAAGGUGAGAAUUAUGGUAGGGGCCUAAAUUCUGUUAGAAUGUAGGCAUAGUUAAAUUCUAACCAGUCAUUGUUUUAUAAUUUGUCUUUUUAUAAUGCUUACUGCUCAGGUGUCAUGUAGCUGGAGGUCAUUUGUAACUUCCCCAAUUGGUCCUUUAUAUAAUAUCACUAUUGUCAAACCUAAGACUAAUGUUUGAGAUCUUUUUCAGACUUUUGCAUUCUGGUGACCAACUAACUCCACUUGGACCUGUGAUUCAUACCAAGAAACAGACUCGAAAGGUCCUCUGUCCCCCGCCCAGAAAUAGACUCAGUACAUGAAGACAGUUUUGACAUUCCCAUGAUUUCAUCCCCAACCAAUCAGCAGUACCCAUUCUCUAGUCCCUGCCCACUAAAUUAUUCUUAAAAACCCUAGCUUCCGAGUUCUUGGGAAGGUAGAAUUGAGAAAUAUCUCCUGUCCUUCUGCUCAGCAGCCUGGUGAUAAUUAAAUUCUCUCUGUUGCAACA